rnacentral:rRNA from 1 species
GACGAACGCUGGCGGCGUGCCUAAUACAUGCAAGUCGAACGAAGCUGUUUUAACUGGUGCUUGCACCGACUUAAACAACUGAGUGGCGAACGGGUGAGUAACACGUGGGUAACCUGCCCCAAAGCGGGGGAUAACAUUUGGAAACAGAUGCUAAUACCGCAUAACCACAGAAACCACAUGGUUUCUGUGUCAAAGAUGGUUUCGGCUAUCACUUUGGGAUGGACCCGCGGCGUAUUAGCUAGUUGGUAAGGUAAUGGCUUACCAAGGCAAUGAUACGUAGCCGAACUGAGAGGUUGAUCGGCCACAUUGGGACUGAAACACGGCCCAAACUCCUACGGGAGGCAGCAGUAGGGAAUCUUCCACAAUGGACGAAAGUCUGAUGGAGCAACGCCGCGUGAGUGAAGAAGGUUUUCGGAUCGUAAAACUCUGUUGGCAGAGAAGAACGUGUGCGAGAGUAACUGUUCGUGCAGUGACGGUAUCUGGCCAGAAAGCCACGGCUAACUACGUGCCAGCCGCCGCCGUAA